rnacentral:rRNA from 1 species
AGCCCGCUCAGAAACUCAAAGGAAUUGACGGGGGCCCCGCACAAGCGGUGGAGCAUGUGGUUUAAUUCGAUGAUACGCGAGGAACCUUACCUGGGCUCAAAUGUAUGUUGACGUAUUCUGAAAGGGAUACUUCUUCGGACAAUAUACAAGGUGCUGCAUGGUUGUCGUCAGCUCGUGCCGUGAGGUGUCGGGUUAAGUCCCAUAACGAGCGCAACCCCUAUCAUUAGUUGCCAUCAGGUCAAGCUGGGGACUCUAAAGGAACUGCCUACGCAAGUAGUGAGGAAGGCGGGGAUGACGUCAAAUCAGCACGGCCCUUACGUCCAGGGCUACACACGUGCUACAAUGGCCGAUACAGAGGGCAGCUACCUGGUGACAGGAUGCAAAUCUCCAAAGUCGGUCUCAGUUCGGAUCGGAGUCUGCAACCCGACUCCGUGAAGUUGGAUUCGCUAGUAAUCGCGCAUCAGCCAUGGCGCGGUGAAUACGUUCCCGGGCCUU